CAAGCAGUAGCUAGCUGCGCUAGGGAGGAAAUAAUGUUCCCUACGCUGACUCAUGUCAGCAAUAUCGACAGGAUUUCAAACCAGUGAAUGAUUAUACAUAUAAAUGAAUUGGAAUUUGGCGCCAAGACAUUCAGUAGUUAUUUUCCUGAGAGCGACGAAGAGAACCGCUAGUCCGUGCUUGUAUUCCAAAGAACGAUCCUUCUUCUAGACACAUUUUCGAUAUCCAGGAUGAGUUCCACCACAGCGUCCACAAGCAUAAAACUUGAAAAUUUCAUCAGCGGGCCGAUGGGCGGCAAACCCGUUACUGCACUUCCUGGCGUCGGUCGUGUACUCGGCGGCAGACUGACCCAAAACGGCAGCGACUCGGCCUCACAGGUAUACGGGCAGUAUCUGAUGUUCAAGGGCGACGAAGACCAAUUUCGAAGCUGGAUGAAGACCGAAUGCAACGCAAAUAAAAAGCAGGCCGGGGACUGUUUCAACGCUAUUAAAGAGUAUGCCAACAGCUUCUUGUGAGCUGUGCAGAUGAAGAAAUAACUCGCCAAUACUGUGCCACAGCUGUUCCUACAUAUACAUGUCGUGUACAUGUACAAUGUACAUGUACACGUGUAGCUGUCCAACAGUAUUAGCAAGGUCAGUGACAUUUCCUACCAUUUCCAAUGCAUCUUUCCUAUCGUCUGAUUUGUCAUUCAUUUACUGCAUGGGAUGGACAUGAAGCAUGGUACUACACGUGUUCCUUCUCCUUCAUUUGUGAGUGUAAAUGUACGUCCUCCUUACAACUGAUCUCCCGCUUCUCUUUUAUUAUCGUCCCACUGUACAUGGAUGUACUGAUAGCUUUUUUUCAUUGAAAGUGUAUUUUUUGCCAGCAUUUUCACCACAGUUACGGCACCAGGAUUGCGUCAGCUGGUUUUUUGUCAGUGUUCUCAAACUUUUCUCUUCAUCGUGGUCUUUCUCUUUUCGUUGUAGUUUCCCACCCGCCCCCCCCCCCUUUACUCUCACUUUUGGAUAGGUCCUGCAGGCUACGUUUUUCUCAUUUAUCUGAUGGGGAUAUUCUAACCGGUUUUUCCUCAGGGAUGUGUCUCCGCCGGGGUCCUGGGUUUUUUUUCCGCCAGCUUCGGGCUGGUUAAUUAUCCGGCGGCCCCAUUCACCAUGUUCACCACUUUUUGCAUCAUGUUGGUCUGGUAUAUACGUGUACAUGUAUAUGCGUGAGGUGGCAUGCCCUUCUUCUUGCUCAUGUAUACACUACGCUAAGCUUUUCCAUCUUCCACCGUGAGUGAACAAAGACCACACUCUACUGUGA